UGACUNGAGUGCAGAAGGGGAGAGUGGAAUUCCAUGUGUAGCGGUGAAAUGCGUAGAUAUAUGGAGGAACACCAGUGGCGAAAGCGGCUCUCUGGUCUGUCACUGACGCUGAGGCUCGAAAGCGUGGGUAGCGAACAGGAUUAGAUACCCUGGUAGUCCACGCCGUAAACGAUGAGUGCUAGGUGCUAGGCCCUUUCCGGGGCUUAGUGCCGGAGCUAACGCAAUAAGCACUCCGCCUGGGGAGUACGACCGCAAGGUUGAAACUCAAAGGAAUUGACGGGGGCCCGCACAAGCGGUGGAGCAUGUGGUUUAAUUCGAAGCAACGCGAAGAACCUUACCAGGUCUUGACAUCCCGAUGCUAUUCUUAGAGAUAGGAAGUUACUUCGGUACAUCGGAGACAGGUGGUGCAUGGUUGUCGUCAGCUCGUGUCGUGAGAUGUUGGGUUAAGUCCCGCAACGAGCGCAACCCUUAUUGUUAGUUGCCAUCAUUAAGUUGGGCACUCUAGCGAGACUGCCGGUAAUAAACCGGAGGAAGGUGGGGAUGACGUCAAAUCAUCAUGCCCCUUAUGACCUGGGCUACACACGUGCUACAAUGGUCGGUACAACGAGUUGCGAGCCGGUGACGGCAAGCUAAUCUCUGAAAGCCGAUCUCAGUUCGGAUUGGAGGCUGCAACUCGCCUCCAUGAAGUCGGAAUCGCUAGUAAUCGCGGAUCAGCACGCCGCGGUGAAUACGUUCCCGGGCCUUGUACACACCGCCCGUCACACCACGAGAGUUUGUAACACCCGAAGUCGGUGAGGUAACCUUUUAGGGGCCAGCC
rnacentral:rRNA from 1 species